rnacentral:rRNA from 1 species
UACGUAGGGUGCAAGCGUUAAUCGGAAUUACUGGGCGUAAAGCGUGCGCAGGCGGUUGUGCAAGACAGAUGUGAAAUCCCCGGGCUUAACCUGGGAACUGCAUUUGUGACUGCACGGCUAGAGUGUGUCAGAGGGGGGUAGAAUUCCACGUGUAGCAGUGAAAUGCGUAGAUAUGUGGAGGAAUACCGAUGGCGAAGGCAGCCCCCUGGGUCAAGACUGACGCUCAUGCACGAAAGCGUGGGGAGCAAACAGG